rfam:Toxocara canis scaffold59, whole genome shotgun sequence.
GGGGCAGUCGUUCAAUGAUAGAGCUCCCGCUCCGUGUGCGGGAAGACCGGGGUUCGAUUCCCGGCUGCUUUC